UGGGAGAUCGUCUAACGGUAGGACUCAUCCCUCUGGAGGAUGAUAUCUUGGUUCGAAUCCAAGUCUCCCAGCCA
rnacentral:tRNA from 1 species